AGAAGAGUGAAGACAGAGCAACACCCACGACUCCACGAGGUCGCCACGACCCACCACAGUUCAGCAUGGGUCAGACUUCAGAGAGAGUGAGACUGUGAGAGACAUAGAGAACGCCUGAAGCCCUCAACGCACUCACCUCCAUCGCGCCUUCAGCACCGUCACGCCGUCAGCAGCGUCGCGCCGUCAGCUCCGUGGCGCCGUUGGGUCCGUCGCGCCUUCAGAUACCUCACGCAGUCAGCACCGUCCGCCGUCAGCUCCGUCGCGCACUCAGCUUCGUCGCGUCCUCAACCACUUCGCAUGUCACCUCCGUCGAGCUCUGCCUCUGAGAAAGCAAUAGAGAAGCGUUGAAGCGUUGAAAAAAUUAAAGCCUGAAGUCCUUCGAGUUCUGAGAGAAAGCAAUAGAUUUCCUCAUUUCCAGGUAUGGAAGAAAGUAUCAACCAAGACCUACCUAGGAAUAAUAAUGCUGAAAAUAAUUCUGCUUCGAAUGAACGUUCUCUUCCUCCGCGAGUAACGAAAAUCAAUCACAAACUUGUAGUGUUCGGGGGAAAACUGAUCCUGCUUGGAGAUACGUUGCUUUACAGAAUAUAAAUGGAAAACCGCAUUACCAAUGCUUAUUUUGUCUGAGUACUUUUGGGGGCGGGGGAAUUAAUAGAAUGAAAAAGCAUUUGGCGAACUUGGAUUUUUAUGAUUGAUGACAAACUUGGAUCAUUUUGAUGCUGCUAUGUUAUGUUUGAUUGGUUGUUUGUUGACUUUUGAACUUUGAAUUUGUAUUUGAAUGAGAUUAUAACAUUUGGUUUAUGUAGUACUUUUAAUUUGAA